rnacentral:pre_miRNA from 2 species
GGGACGGGGCCUGCAGGCAGAAGUGGGGCUGACAGGGCAGAGGGUUGCGCCCCCUCACCACCCCUUCUGCCUGCAGCGGUGGGCU